AUUGAACGCUGGCGGCAGGCUUAACACAUGCAAGUCGAACGAGUGGCGGACGGGUGCGUAAUGUUGGGGAAUCUGGCUUAUGGAGGGGGAUAACUACGGAAAACGGUAGCUAAUACCGCGUACCAUAGGAUGAGCCCAGGUGGGAUUAGGUAGUUGGUGAGGGAAAGGCUCACCAAGCAGACGAGCCACAGCUGGUCUGAGAGGGUGACCAGCCACACUGGAACUGAGACACGGCCCAGACUCCUACGGGAGGAAGCAGUGGGGAAUAGUGCGCAAUGGGGGCAACCUGACGCAGCAAGGCCGCGUGAAUGAAGAAGGCCUUCGGGUUGUAAAGUUCUUUCGGUAGCGAGGCGGUAACUACAGAAGAAGCACCGGCUAACUCCGUGCCAGCAGCCGCGGUAAUAC
rnacentral:rRNA from 1 species